GGAUGUAUGGUGUAGUGGUUAGCACUGAGGAUUCUGAUUCCUUCGACCGGGGUUCGACUCCCCGUAUAUCCU
rfam:Ichthyophthirius multifiliis unplaced genomic scaffold scaff_1120509250387, whole genome shotgun sequence.